rnacentral:rRNA from 1 species
GAUGAACGCUGGCGGCGUGCCUAAUACAUGCAAGUCGAGCGAACAGACGAGGAGCUUGCUCCUCUGACGUUAGCGGCGGACGGGAGAGUAACACGUGGAUAACCUACCUAUAAGACUGGGAUAACUUCGGGAAACCGGAGCUAAUACCGGAUAAUAUAUUGAACCGCAUGGUUCAAUAGUGAAAGACGGUUUUGCUGUCACUUAUAGAUGGAUCCGCGCCGCAUUAGCUAGUUGGUAAGGUAACGGCUUACCAAGGCAACGAUGCGUAGCCGACCUGAGAGGGUGAUCGGCCACACUGGAACUGAGACACGGUCCAGACUCCUACGGGAGGCAGCAGUAGGGAAUCUUCCGCAAUGGGCGAAAGCCUGACGGAGCAACGCCGCGUGAGUGAUGAAGGUCUUCGGAUCGUAAAACUCUGUUAUUAGGGAAGAACAAAUGUGUAAGUAACUAUGCACGUCUUGACGAUACCUAAUCAGAAAGCCACGGCUAACUACGUG